GCGAAACGCGCAGAAAAGGCAGAAGAGUUGUCUCACCCGGCCUCACACACGCACAUUCACAGACAGAAUGUCUCACAGACAGAAUGUCUGGGACUGAACACGAUCAAGUUGAGGAAACACUGAAGAGGAUCGAAGCCAAUAAAUAUGUGAUUGGAACGAUCGUUGUCAACACAGAGGGUAUUCCCAUCAGAACAACUUUGGAUAACUCCACCACGGUCAGUGGCGGUUCUGGGCACGGGCGAACCGGGCAGCCACCUGGGGCGGCAUUUUUUCAUGGCUCAUGGGGGGCGGCACGAGCGCUGGAAAAAAAAUCCUCUGCUCCGCGAAGCAGUUUUCUAUCAUCUAUCGUUUCACUGUGUGGGGAAUUGGCAGAUUGUGCCCCCCUGCGGCUGCAGGCGCCCUGCUUGUUGGAGGUGCUGUGCACAGAAUCUGUGUGAGUAGGGGAAAAGGAAGGGGCGCGCGGGGGACAGUUCACCUCUGGGUCACCCAAAUGGAACGGUCGGAUAAGGGGGGGGAGCAGGGGUCGGGGGAUUCACUGUUAAAUACGCUAAUGUAAUUAGUGGGCUAAAGUCAGUCACACCCCGACUUUCUUACAAAUAACGCACAUUUCAAUAAUGAUAAAUGCAAGCCUAUAGUUCCUGCACAUUUUUGUUUUUAUGAAUUGUGUAAAAUGGCCAAUAAAAAUUGGUAAUACAAAACGAUUAUGUGUCACCUUUCACCAAGGUUAAUUGGUUUAGUCUUGACUUCUGGUCGUGACUGACAGUGUUGGGGGGAUGGGAAAUCUGUUGCUUGUCGAGUCAGAGGCAAAUAAAAACAGAUGGACAGAAAAAGGUUAAAAUCAUCAGGUUCCCACUACAGAAAGAAAAGAAAAGAAGAGGAGGAGAAGCAAGCAAAAGAUGGAGGUAUGCAAAUAUGUUGUCUCUCUGUAUGAUUAUACAGCCACAUCAGCCAUCAAGGAGAUAUUUUCCACAUUGGAAAAUAUGGGAAAUAAUUCAGGGUGUUGACACAUUUCCCAAGUCUUGCAGAUGAAGAGCUGGCAGAGCAAUGCGAGGCACUAGGCACCACACUGCACUUUAAGGGGCACUCUGAUUUGGACAGUAGAAAGCUUGUGCAGGAAAUUAAGAACUUCCCUGACCUGCCAUCAAAGACCAUGAGCCUCCUUGAGCCAAUCACUUGUGCAUGACAAGGAUCUAUCAGAGAUCUACCCCAACUUUUGGACUGCUCUCAGGAUUGCACUUACUCUGCCAGUCACUGUGGCUCAAGCAGAGAGGAGCUUUUCCAAACUGAAGUUGAUCAAGUCAUACCUUAGGUCAACCAUGUCCCAGAAACGGCUCACUGGCCUUGGUGUCAUCAGCAUCAAUCAUUCCAUAGGGGAGCAGAUUUCAUACAAAGACAUUAUUGAUGAUUUUGCAUCAAGGAAGGCCAGAAACGUCAGGUUUUAGAUUUAGUUUGUGUUUUCUGUUCUUAGUGCAAUAGUGAAACAGUUCGAUUGUAUUUUGUGUGAUGAAGAAUUUGUGCUAUUUACAAUAUUUAUUCUAUAUUUUAUUUGUAUAUUGUUCUUUUGUAUUGUAUAUUUUGUGCAAAUCAAAACUCUCACUCUCAAAGGUGGUCUCGCCCUGGGCGCCAUUCAAUGCAGAACCGUCCCUGACCACGGUUGUGUAUGCACAGCUUUUACGCCACCUCACCAUGAAGGCAAGUAACAUCGUGAGGGACCUUGACCCUCAGAAUGACAUUUGUUUUUUUCUGAAUGCAGACAAAGAAACACAAUAUCUUGGUUGCACCAGGUGAGUGUCCAGAAGGUGCAUUUGUAUUGUUGACUUAAUUGUCUGUAACUUGACCGUGCUGUUGUACUGCAGUUGAAUUUUUUUUCUCUUCUUUCUUUUUGUUUUUGCAGAAAACAACUUUCUGCUGAUAGUCAUCCAGAAGCAUGUGAAUAGCCUCUGGACAUUUCCAUGAGAGUCAGCCUUUGUUUUGUGCCAUAAUGGUGA